rnacentral:rRNA from 1 species
AGUGAACGCUGGCGGUAGGCCUAACACAUGCAAGUCGAACGGCAGCACAGUAAGAGCUUGCUCUUACGGGUUGCGAGUGGCGGACGGGUGAGGAAUACAUCGGAAUCUACUUUUUCGUGGGGGAUAACGUAGGGAAACUUACGCUAAUACCGCAUACGGCCUACGGGUGAAAGCAGUGGAUCUUCUGACCUUGCGCGAUUGAAUGAGCCGAUGUCGGAUUAGCUAGUUGGCGGGGUAAAGGCCCACCAAGGCGACGAUCCGUAGCUGGACUGAGAGGAUGAUCAGCCACACUGGAACUGGGACACGGUCCAGACUACUACGGGAGGCAGCAGUGGGGAAUAUUGGACAAUGGGCGCAAGCCUGAUCCAGCCAUACCGCGUGGGUGAAGAAGGCCUUCGGGUUGUAAAGCCCUUUUGUUGGGAAAGAAAAGCAGCAGGUUAAUACCACGCUGUUCUGACGGUACCCAAAGAAUAAGCACCGGCUAACUUCGUG